UCGGGUUCAAUUUGAGGAGCUUUUGAUCCCUGAACGCUUUCCUUAGAGCCCUGGAGGAUGGGAAUGAAAAUUGCGGCCUCCCGAUCUCCAG